GCAUGGGCUGAUUGGGACGCUGAGACGCCGAACCACUUCCUGCUUGGCUGGUCAUAUUGUCCCCUUAGUGGGCUAACUCACCCCUCCUCCUGGCUGCCUGCAGCAAUCGGAGCUCCGGCGUGUAGCCUUGGUAACGGCCCCUGCAUAGCCACUGUCAGUGAUGCUGCAGUCCGUGCAGCACUUCCUACUACUACAAGCCCUGCCCCUGCAUGUCUUCAUGCAGGGGGCGGGUUCAGCACUCGGCACUGCUACAGGCCUGCAUGAGAUGUGAGCAGCCUACAGAGGCCGGAAGAGGAGAGGUACAGUACAGUUGCAGCAGACAAAAGGAUAUCAUCUUUGUUUUUAUCACAUACGCUAAGAAGAAUGGGUCAGUUUUUCAGAAAGGACUCCAAACAGUGUGACGUCAGCUCCGGCCUUCGCACUUGAGGAUGAUACCAUGCUUAAUAUGCAGGGGCACAUCAUAUUUCUUUCCAUCUAGAUGCUGGUAUUAUUCUACCAUCAACAGGCUAAGAAGCCAGACUGAUUAUAGUAGGUCUUUCUGCAAAAGAGCGGAACAUCAGACCGCAGGGAUCACAGCUGACAGCAAGAAGCCCCUCCUCUUGGUUCAUUACAAGUAAAUUGGAGAUGGGUGUUGCACACACAAAAGUUAUUAUAAAAUUACACAAACCCAUCUCAAUAUACUCCACAGUAUGAUCUUAUAGCUUUAGACUGUAUGUAUGACAACAA